rnacentral:rRNA from 1 species
AACGUAGGAGACAAACGUUAUCCGGAGUUACUGGGCGUAAAGGGCGUGUAGGCGGUUAGUUAAGUCUGGCGUGAAAGCUCUCGACUAAACCGGGAGAGGUCGUUGGAUACUGGCUGACUAGAGGACGGUAGAGGCGUGUGGAAUUCCGGGUGUAGUGGUGAAAUGCGUAGAGAUCCGGAGGAACACCAGUGGCGAAGGCGACACGCUGGGCCGUACCUGACGCUAAAGCGCGACAGCAUGGGGAGCAAACGGG